GAUGAACGCUGGCGGCGUGUCUAAGGCAUGCAAGUCGAACGGACUGUUAUUUGUAGCAAUACUUAGAACAGUUAGUGGCAAACGGGUGCGUAACACAUUGGUAACCUGCCUCAAAGUCGGGCAUAAUCCCGCGAAAGUGGGACUAAUUCCACGAUGGUCAUCGAAGGUGAGAUUCCUUCGAUGUAAAGUCGCAAGACGCUUUGAGAGGGGCCUAUGGCCUAUCAGCUUGUUGGUGAGGUAACGGCUCACCAAGGCUAUGACGGGUAGGGGUGUGAGAGCACGACCCCCCUCACUGGGACGUGAGACACUGCCCACGACACCUACGGGUGGGCUGCAGUCGAGAAUAUUCCCCAACUGGCCGAAACGGACUGAGGGAGCGACGCCGCGUGCAGGAAUAA
rnacentral:rRNA from 1 species